rnacentral:rRNA from 1 species
AGGAUAAACGCUGGCGGCGUGCCUAACACAUGCAAGUCGAACGUCCUCGCGCAAGCGAGGGAGUGGCGGACGGGUGAGUAACACGUGGGUACCUACCCCAAGGUGAGGAAUACCGGCGAGAAAUCGCCGACAAUACCGCAUAGGUUUCGAAAGAAACAAGCUCGGGCAACCGGGCGCCCUGGGAAGGGCCUGCGGCCGAUUAGCUAGUUGGUGAGGUAAAAGCUUCCCAAGGCGACGAUCGGUAGCUGGUCUGAGAGGAUGAUCAGCCACACUGGGAUUGAGAACGGCCCAGACUCCUACGGGGGGCAGCAGUGAGGAAUUUUCGUCAAUGGGGGCAACCCUGAACGAGCAACGCCGCGUGCAGGAAGAAGGUUUUCGGAUCGUAAACUGCUUUUCUCUGGGACGAGAACGGACGGUACCAGAGGAAUAAGCCCCGGCUAACUACGGUGCCAGCCAGCCGC